ensembl:lncRNA
UUCUUGCAAUCUGCAUGCAUCUUGCUUAUUUCCUUGUUUCUAUGUUCCUUUGUUAUGCUUUUUCUUGCUUUGAGACAGGGUCUCACUAUGUAGCUCGGGCUGGCUUCAAACUUGUAAUCCUCCUGCCUCAGCUUCACGUCCUGUUUGUAUGCUGAGAAUAACAUGUUUUCCUUCCUGUAGGGAAAGACCCUGGUCGAACUCGGUGACCAGCCUAUUGCUGGUGCUCAGUGGAUAUUUAUUUAUUGAAUGAACGAACAUGUAUAAUCCCUAAGGUCAUAUGGUUCCCCAGGAAGCAUAGCCUUUAAUAGGGAAAUCAAUUUUUUAAUUGAUGCCUUUUUCUUUUCUUUGUUGUUUUUUUUUGAGACAGGGUCUCUGGUGUAGCCCAGGCUGGCCUCAAGCUUGGAGCAAUCCUCCUGCCUCAGCCUCCCGAGCGCUGGGAUGACAGGUGUGCCCCACCACGGUGGGCAAGGAUACCUUCACCGAGUCCCUUCCCGGACCCCGGCCCUCUUGUCUGGGGGUGGCGUCAGCCUCCCUCUCCUCACUGUCGGGAGCAGUGAUAUUGACUCCAGGGUGGAGGACUCAGUGCAGGGAGACCACUCAGGUCUGACUGUGGAUCACACUGAGUCAAGCUACUGCCCAAACUGGACCUCCCCAUCUGGGCAGUGCCCCUUCCCUCAGGAACACACCUGUGUGGGCUUUGUGGCAGGGUAGUUUUCCAGUGCCAGAGAAGACUGGAGGUGGAGAUGGAGAAAUGCUAUUUAUUAGCACUAAUGAAUUUCCACUUUAUCAUUUAGCGUUUUUUCAACUGGUGAAAUGAAUGAGACAGAUCUACACGUAUUGAUACAGAUUACUUGCCAAGAUAUAUCAUUGUGAAAUGUGUACAAUUGUUAGGGGAGCGUGUGGCCCAUGCCUGUAAUUCCAGUACUCUGGGAGGCUGAGGCAGGAGGAUCUCUGGUUCAAGUGCAGUGGGACCGGACCGGACUGGGCUGUGCUCUGGGGCGCCACCCUGGGUUUGCCCUCUGGGGCGGGGUGGAUGUGUGUGAUCGUUAGAUGUAAAGGAGCAUUUCUGGGGCUGCACAGAAUCUGCGUGGAAGGGCGCUGAGGCCACAAAGUGACUCAGACCAGAAGGUGACUCUGCAGUUCUUUUCUCUGCCCAAAAUGGUAAGUUAAUAUUUGAGUUAAAGUUCUUUCUAGAAAACAAAUCCUGCAAGUUGGUUUUUUUUUUUUUUAAAGUAUUCAAGGGAAAUGCAAAGUAGGCUGGUGGGACCCGUGCCAUUUCAAGUCUUUCCCACACAGCAGGUUGGGCAACAUUCAGAGAACUUCCUUAUUUCAACUCUGUCCUAUUCUGUUUAUUGGACAGGGUCUCGCUAUGCAGUCCAGUCUGGCUUUGAUCCUCCUGCCUCAGCCUCCCAAGUGCUGGGAUGACAGGCAUGCAACACCACACCUGCCUCACAGCUCUGAGUUUUAUGAAUGGUGCCAGUUAGACAUUCUCGUACACACCUUCCGGUGCCCUGUGCAGUACCGGGGAUUGAACUCGGGACCUUGCACUUGUGAUGGAGUCGACAGAACCACCGAGCUAAAUCCCGGCUCAUUUAUUUUUAUUUAUUUAUUUACUUUUUAUGUUGAAUGUUUAUUGAAUUAAAUUACAGUUAUUUAAAAAUCUGUAACUGAUAUACAUUAGAUUUUUAUGUCUGUAUCAGGUCACCACAAAUCAGAUUUAUAUACAGCCUUCAACUGCAGAUAACACAAAGUUUCUAAGCGAUGCUAACAGAGACACCUUUGUGUUUUUUUUGCAUUUUUUGAGAUACCUUUUCCUUUACCAUAGCAAAUUAAAAAUUUUAAGUUUACAGAUGUAUAAAACACUUUAGCCAAAAAGUCUCUUUUUAAGAAAAAAGGGCAUUUUCUCAUUUUAGC